UAGGGAUCUUCCACAAUGGGCGAAAGCCUGAUGGAGCAACGCCGCGUGUGUGAUGAAGGGUUUCGGCUCGUAAAACACUGUUGUAAGAGAAGAAUGACAUUGAGAGUAACUGUUCAAUGUGUGACGGUAUCUUACCAGAAAGGAACGGCUAAAUACGUGUCAG
rnacentral:rRNA from 1 species